rnacentral:tRNA from 1 species
GCAGUGGUGGUUCAGUGGUAGAAUUCUUGCCCUUCCAUGUGGGAAACCAGGAUUCGAUUCCUGGCCAAUGCA